GACGAACGCUGGCGGCGGGCUUAACACAUGCAAGUCGAACGGAAAGGCACUGCUUUUGUGGGGUGCUCGAGUGGCGAACGGGUGAGUAACACGUGAGUAACCUGCCCUUGACUUUGGGAUAACUUCAGGAAACUGGGGCUAAUACCGGAUAGGAGCUCCUGCUGCAUGGUGGGGGUUGGAAAGUUUCGGCGGUUGGGGAUGGACUCGCGGCUUAUCAGCUUGUUGGUGGGGUAGUGGCUUACCAAGGCUUUGACGGGUAGCCGGCCUGAGAGGGUGACCGGCCACCUUGGGACUGAGAUACGGCCCAGACUCCUACGGGAGGCAGUAGUGGGGAAUAUUGCACAAUCGGCGGAAGCCUGAUGCAGAAACGCCGCGUGCGGGAUGACGGCCUUCGGGUUGUAAACCGCUUUCGCCUGUGACGACGCGUGAGUGACGGUAAUGGGUAAAGAAGCACCGGCUAACUACGUG
rnacentral:rRNA from 1 species